rnacentral:lncRNA from 1 species
UGUGUGACACUGCAUGUUGCUGCCUGAGCCUCCCACACUCUCAUGAAAGAUCCUUGAAGUGAAGAACCGUGCCUUAUCUCUUUGGGGGACUAUACCCCCAGGAAAUAACUUGAAAGAGGGAAAAUCAGGAAGGUGCACAGUAAUAUUCACAACACAUCUCUUUAUAAUGGUGGAGGAUUAGAAAUGCCCCCCAAUAGGGAAGGAGUUCAUCAAGCCAGCCAGGACAUGCUGUUAUUCAGCCAUAAAAGAGUUCUUGGGGGACACUGUUAACACAGGUGAGCGGUGGCACAGGAUAACAGAAGACAAAAGCAAAGCUGAUUAGAAGUUUGUUCAACUGUGUAGAUGUCUCCUGUAUGGGAAGAGAUCAAAGACAUAUACAUUCAUAAUAGUUAAAGACUGGCAAAUGUCACAUCCUAUAAUUUAAGAGAAAAUAGGAAACUUCUUGUAGAAUUUCUCACAAAACUUGGUGUGAAGUAGCUAGAAUAGUCAGGUCUGUGUGAAAUAUAAAAAAUGGGGAUGACAGCUUAGCUUAGGAGGCUGUACCAGCGGGUUGUAUUUCCAAGCUGGGGAUUUAAAAAUUAACUUCUAGAUCCAAGGAUCUGAGAAUAACUCAUGUAACCCUGCUCUAUUUGUUUCUUCUCCCUGCCUUAUGCCUCUUUGCUCCAUUUUCACUUCCUGGUCUGUUGAACUGUUCUGAUGGAUGGUUGGAGAGUAACGUCCUCCGCCGUGAUCCCAGGCUUUUCUCAGGGGGUCGUCGCCACCUGCUAUGAAUGGGUGAACACAUCGGAAUACGUGAGCUGGGUUGCCAGGGCUGUCUGGAGUUUGCAGGGCUGGCUCUGGGAGGUGAAGGAAGGCAAAAGAAGAAAAAAGGCGACCACACCCCUGGGAGCAGCCCAGGGUUCAGGCCCUCAUCAUCCUAUGCCCUGACACCGUGGCCCAGACUGCUAAGAGCAAGUUCAAGGAACAGAAAGGAGACUCAAUAACCUACACCCAUCAAAGAAAGACUUGUUCCACAAGCCCCUUCUUAGAUGGCCCCGGGACCUGGACGAUGAUACGUGGCAAUGACUGUCAUCCAAAAACUCCACAGUGCUUCCCCUGCGUACCUGUGGCUCUCCUGCUUGGUGACACCACUGUUUGUGUGUUAGUUAGACUGGAGGUGCUUGAGAGUAGCUCUGUGUCUAAGUCAGCUCAGAGUCCCCCUGGGGGCCCAGCACAGGGCCUGGUACUUGGGAUGAGUGCAAUAAAUGGAGUUGGUUGAAUGAAUGAGUUAAUACU